rnacentral:misc_RNA from 1 species
GAUGAAGAACGUAGCGAAAUGCGAUAAGUAAUGUGAAUUGCAGAAUUCAGUGAAUCAUCGAAUCUUUGAACGCACUUUGCGCCCCUUGGUAUUCCGGGGGGCAUGCCUCUUCCAGCGUCAUUUCACCCCUCAAGCUCUGCUUGGUUUUGGGCCGCGCCGGCAACGGCGGGCCUCGAAAAUAGUGGCGACGCCAUCGUGCUCUCAGCGUAGUAAUUCUUCUCGCUGUUGGGUCCCGGUGGUCGUCCGCCAGCAACCCCCAACUUUCUUAAGUUUGACCUGGGAUGAGGUAGGGAUACCCGCUGAACUUAAGCAUAUCAAUAAGCGGAGGA